rnacentral:rRNA from 1 species
AAUAGAUACCCUGGUAGUCCACGCCGUAAACGAUGUCGACUUGGAGGUUGUUCCCUUGAGGAGUGGCUUCCGGAGCUAACGCGUUAAGUCGACCGCCUGGGGAGUACGGCCGCAAGGUUAAAACUCAAAUGAAUUGACGGGGGCCCGCACAAGCGGUGGAGCAUGUGGUUUAAUUCGAUGCAACGCGAAGAACCUUACCUACUCUUGACAUCCAGAGAACUUAGCAGAGAUGCUUUGGUGCCUUCGGGAACUCUGAGACAGGUGCUGCAUGGCUGUCGUCAGCUCGUGUUGUGAAAUGUUGGGUUAAGUCCCGCAACGAGCGCAACCCUUAUCCUUUGUUGCCAGCGGUUAGGCCGGGAACUCAAAGGAGACUGCCAGUGAUAAACUGGAGGAAGGUGGGGAUGACGUCAAGUCAUCAUGGCCCUUACGAGUAGGGCUACACACGUGCUACAAUGGCGCAUACAAAGAGAAGCGACCUCGCGAGAGCAAGCGGACCUCAUAAACGGUGCGUCGUAGUCCGGAUUAGAGU